GAUGAACGCUAGCUACAGGCUUAACACAUGCAAGUCGCGGGGCAGCAUGGGGGUUGCUUGCAAUCCCCGAUGGCGACCGGCGCACGGGUGAGUAACGCGUAUUCAACCUGCCCUUCACCACGGGAUAACCCGGCGAAAGUCGGACUAAUACCGUAUGUUGUCCAUUGACGGCAUCCGAUUUGGACGAAAGGCUUGGCGGUGAGGGAUGGGGAUGCGUCCGAUUAGCCAGACGGCGGGGUAACGGCCCACCGUGGCUACGAUCGGUAGGGGUUCUGAGAGGAAGGUCCCCCACACUGGAACUGAGACACGGUCCAGACUCCUACGGGAGGCAGCAGUGAGGAAUAUUGGUCAAUGGGCGUAAGCCUGAACCAGCCAAGUAGCGUGCAGGAUGACGGCCCUAUGGGUUGUAAACUGCUUUUAUGCGGGGAUAAAGUGGCCCACGUGUGGGCUUUUGCAGGUACCGCAUGAAUAAGAACCGGCUAAUUCCGUG
rnacentral:rRNA from 1 species